UCUGGUCCCUGCCUGGACCUCACCUGGACCCGGUGACUGUGGUCCCCCACUGGGCUUCACCCGGACCUGGUGACUGUGGUCCCCACCUGGGCCUCA
rnacentral:miRNA from 1 species